AUGCUUCUCCUAAAGACUAAGCCAUGCAUGCCUUCGAAUACGAGGAAGCAAUUCUCUCUGAAUCUGCGAACGGCUCCGCACACCAGUUGUAAACCAAAGCAAGCUAGUCGCGCCUGGUACCCCCUUCCAAGGGUCUUGGGCGCGGUGAUACGGACAACCCUGGUAAUUCUGAGGCUAAUACGAGAACAGCAAUCCCUGGUUAACCGUAUAAUAAUAUCGGAAGGCUGGGGGGCGUGUACGUAUGCAACGGGUUCCAGGAAAGGGUGCACGCUCUGACCACGUUAAAACGGUUCCGGACAAACCUUCGGGUGGACUCGGUUCUGAGUGGCUCUUGCGAUGUGCUUCUGACCUAUCAACUAGAUGGCAGCGUAACGGACAUGCCAUGGUCACAACGGGUACAGAGGAUUAGGGUUCGAUCCUGGAGAGUGGGCCUGAGAGAUUGCUCAUACUUCUAAGGAAGGCAGCAGGCGCGCAACGUUCCCCUUGGGCAAUGCCCGAGGGCGUUAGGGGACAUAUGAAUGGUUGCCUUUUAGGUGGCCAAUUCAAAUGGGUCUGUUCUAAACAGUCUC
rnacentral:rRNA from 1 species